GGGGUUGUGGCUCAGUGAUAGAGCGCUCACCUCGCACGUGCGGGGUUCUGGGUUCAAUCCUUAGCACCACA
rnacentral:tRNA from 1 species